rnacentral:misc_RNA from 1 species
GAAACGCGAUAAUUAAUGUGAAUUGCAGAAUUCAGUGAAUCAUCGAGUCUUUGAACGCACAUUGCGCCCCCUGGUAUUCCGGGGGGCAUGCCUGUCCGAGCGUCAUUGCUGCCCUCAAGCACGGCUUGUGUGUUGGGCUUCCGUCCCUGGCAACGGGGACGGGCCCAAAAGGCAGUGGCGGCACCAUGUCUGGUCCUCGAGCGUAUGGGGCUUUGUCACCCGCUCCCGUAGGUCCAGCUGGCAGCUAGCCUCGCAACCAAUCUUUUUAACCAGGUUGACCUCGGAUCAGGUAGGGAUACCCGCUGAACUUAAGC